UUCUCUUGCUUUAUUCCUCUGAUCUUGCUGUAUUUUGUGCAGCUGUCUAACCCUAAGGAUAUCUAUCGACCUCGUUGAUGGUAUUUUGAAUGACUUUCAUUGCACAUUAUGCGUUGUUUUGGCCUGCUUACAUCGCACGGGGAAGUCAUUCCAUUCAAGCAGGUCAUGCAAAGGAAUCCCAAGUGAGAGAAGACCGCUACAAGCUCCAUUGAUGGCUGAUUUUGAAAGCGAAAGAGAGCUCAGUCGUAAGUUUUCUUACAUGCUGGGUUCAAGGCCUUGUCCCUGUUUCCUAGCUUUCUGUUUAGUCGUUGUGAGCUAUGGCUUAAAGUAAACUUGUGAACGGGUCGCAGAGAUCUUCCCAAAGACGUCAUAUGGGCCAGGUCAAGCGAAACGUUCAUACAUUU
rnacentral:telomerase_RNA from 1 species